UGAUAGCCCGGUGAGCAGGCAUCCGGUCAGGUGACCAUCCCUGUGAACGGAAGCAUAGAUCCCGGAAGCGGAGCAGAGGCGUGGCAUGGACGGCUAGAACAAGCGCCAGAAACAUCAUCAAUUUAAAGACAACCGAGGAUGAACUAGGAAAAGAAACACUGGAAAAUAAAACAAUAAAAAGGAAGACAAAACAUAAGAAAGAACGUACAAUACCCAGAGACCGGUCCCUGCUGACCACAGAUAAAUGCUGGAUUAGACCACAUGCCACAGACCUUAGGGACCAUCCGCAGCCUCUACUCUAAUAGGAAAUGCACUUACCUCGGGGCUUCAGGUCAUCCUCAUCACUCUCCGACUCUCCAUCAUCAGCCACAGCAAUGGGGACAGACUUCAGCGGAUGAGCGGCAGCCGGCACAUCCUGGUGAAGGAGAGACAGAAGGUAAAGUACAGACAAUACAGCAGCUCUGUGGCGUCUCACCUUUAUAUUGCAUGGAGUCAAAUUAGUUAAAAUAAACAAUGAAUUACA